GUGCCGGGAGGGUGAGCACCAGCACCAGCACCAGCCAGACAAAAUCUCUCGGAUUCGGGCUGACCUAGAUGGAGACUCCACAAUUAAUUUGAUGUCUGAAUUGGAGAUGUCCAACAAUUUCUCCUAUGUGAUUCGACUAGAUCAAUUUCAGUUUGUGACUCCUGAGGAUGUGGACAAGCUGCUUGGAUCGAUUUAUAAGACAGAAGCAGCAGCAGAGACAUGGUCUAUUCCUUGAUAACAAUGCGGAAUGUGGGAGAUUGAGCGUCAUAACUAGAUUGGUACGGCAUAUAAACACCAGAUGCUACUGACUACCCCAACUGGCUCAUGUGCUAAUGAGUGAAAGGGCCAAUCUACCUCUUGGAGCAGAGAGUUCUGAAGCCUCAGUACCAUGACCUGAUUGGGCUCUGCUGUUUCUCUGCCAGCCACACUUUUAUGAGACCUGCAUAAAGUGGAUUAACAACAUGGCACACAGAACUACUGGUGGAGUCAAUUUCAUGAAGGCUACACCAGCCUUACCCUUCGGCACAGUGAGGUAGUGCCAUCAAGGGGCAGAUGUGAGCCACCAUAUAAGGGUGACAAAUACUAGGUAUUUGCCAGAUGAGGAGCCCGGUUCUAGAUAAGGAUGAGCUGGGAGGAGAGCUGGUCUUGUGGUAAGUAAAAUAAAGUGUGCUGUUGAGUCAGUGUCGACUCCUGGCAACCACAGAGCCUUGGAGGGGCUUACCAUUGGAGGGGUUUACCAUUGCCAUCUCCUGCGCAGUAUGAGUUGAUGCCUUUCAGCAUCUUUCUAUAUCGCUGCUGCCCAAUAUGGGUGUUUCCCAUUGUCUGGGAAACAUACCAGUGGGGAUUCGAACCGGCCACCUCUGGCUUGCUGGUAAGUCAUUUCCCUGCUGUGCCAUUAGGUGGCUGGUCUUGUGGUAGCAAGCAUGAAUUGUCCCCUUUGCUAAGCAGGGUCUGCCCUGGUUUGCAUUUGGAUGAGACACUAUGAAGUUAUUCUCAUGACCAGCAGGAACUGAGCUAAGGAAGCCCAGCCUGACACGUGGCUCCCGGCAGUGACUAGGCAGCAAGCCUGCUUAUGGAGCCCACUGCUUAACCCGGGUCUUGGGUGCGAGCGCG